rnacentral:rRNA from 1 species
UGGGGAAUUUUGGACAAUGGGGGAAACCCUGAUCCAGCCAUCCCGCGUGUGCGAUGAAGGCCUUCGGGUUGUAAAGCACUUUUGGCAGGAAAGAAACGUCAUGGGUUAAUACCCCGUGAAACUGACGGUACCUGCAGAAUAAGCACCGGCUAACUACGUGCCAGCAGCCGCGGUAAUACGUAGGGUGCAAGCGUUAAUCGGAAUUAUUGGGCGUAAAGCGUGCGGAGGCGGUUCGGAAAGAAAGAUGUGAAAUCCCAGAGCUCAACUUUGGAACUGCAUUUUUAACUACCGGGCUAGAGUGUGUCAGAGGGAGGUGGAAUUCCGCGUGUAGCAGUGAAAUGCGUAGAUAUGCGGAGGAACACCGAUGGCGAAGGCAGCCUCCUGGGAUAACACUGACGCUCAUGCACGAAAGCGUGGGGAGCAAACAGG